UCCCCUCCAACUAUCCAACAACGGGGGGAAAAGAGAGUACCGGAGGAGCGGGGCGACGGCGGGGGCUAGUGAACACGGGGCGGCAGGAGACCUAGACUGGGGCUUGGCCGGCAAAAAAACCCCCGCGGCGGGGGACCCGCCCCCCGUCUCCAUCUUUGCUUCCUUUUUCUUCCCCAAUGC
ensembl:ncRNA Y47D3B.23 ncRNA